rnacentral:rRNA from 1 species
UACGGAGGGUGCAAGCGUUGUUCGGAAUCAUUGGGCGUAAAGCGCGUGUAGGCGGCUUGGCAAGUCAGUUGUGAAAGCCCGGGGCCCAACCCCGGAACUGCAUCUGAAACUGCCUGGCUAGAGUCCCGGAGAGGAAGGCAGAAUUCCCGGUGUAGGGGUGAAAUCCGUAGAUAUCGGGAGGAAUACCAGCGGCGAAGGCGGGACUCUGGGCCGAUACUGACGCUGAGGAGCGAAAGCGUGGGGAGCGAACAGG